UACGUAUGGACCGAGCGUUGUCCGGAAUCAUUGGGCGUAAAGGGUACGUAGGCGGUUUAGUAAGUUAGAAGUGAAAGGCAUGAGCUCAACUAAUGUAAGCUUUUAAAACUGAUAGACUUGAGAGAUUGAGGGGAAAGUGGAAUUCCUAGUGUAGCGGUGAAAUGCACAGAGAUUAGGAGGAAUACCAGUGGCGAAGGCGACUUUCUGGCCAUUAUCUGACGCUGAGGUACGAAAGCGUGGGUAGCAAACAGG
rnacentral:rRNA from 1 species